CCUACGGGUGGCAGCAGUGGGGAAUAUUGCACAAUGGGGGAAACCCUGAUGCAGCAACGCCGCGUGAGUGAUGACGGCCUUCGGGUUGUAAAGCUCUUUCUUCAGGGACGAUAAUUACGGUACCUGAGGCUUAAUCCACGGCUAACUACGUUCCAGCAGCCGCGGUAAUACGUAGGUGGCGAGCGUUGUCCGGAUUUACUGGGCGUAAAGGGAGCGUAGGCGGACUUUUAAGUGAGAUGUGAAAUACUCGGGCUCAACUUGAGUGCUGCAUUUCAACCUGGAAGCCUAGAGUGCAGUAGAGGAGAAUGGAAUUCCUAGUGUAGCGGUGAAAUGCGUAGAGAUCAGGAAGAACACCAGUUGCGAAGGCGAUUCUCUGGACUGCAACUGACGCUGAGGCUCGAAAGUGUGGGGAGCAAACAGGAUUAGAUACCCUUGUAGUC
rnacentral:rRNA from 1 species